rnacentral:rRNA from 1 species
CUGAUCGCCGGUUCCGUUGUUUCCAAGCGAGGAAAUGUGGAUGGUCUAGACGUGGGGAUAGUUCCAGCAUGAUGCUAGUUGUUUUCCGCUANAGUGAGGGGCGGGUGAAUAAUGUCUGGAUAAUUGCCGUUUGUGUGGGCUGAGCUAAAGUGAACGCUGCUCAAUACCGCAUAACGUCGCAAGACCAAAGAGGGGGACCUUCGGGCCUCUUGCCAUCGGAUGUGCCCAGAUGGGAUUAGCUAGUAGGUGGGGUAACGGAUCACCUAGGCGACCAUCCCUAGCUGGUCUGAGAGGAUGACCAGCCACACUGGAACUGAGACACGGUCCAGACUCCUACGGGAGGCUGCAGUGUGGAAUAUUGCGCAAGGGCGCAAGCCUGAUGCAGCCAUGCCGCGUGUAUGAAGAAGGCCUUCGGAUUGUAAGUACUUUCAGCGGGGAGGAAGGGAGUAAAGUUUAUACCUUUUGCUCAUUGACGUUACCCGCAAAGGAGCACCGGCUAACUUCCGUGCCCACACCCCCGGUAAUUCCGGAGGGUGUAAGCCUUAAUCCGAAUUCCGGGGCGUAAAACGCACGCUGGCCGGUUUUGUUAAGUCAAUGUGAAAUCCCCGGGCUCACCUGGGAACUGCAUCCGAUACCGGCAAGCUUGAGUCUCCUAAAAGGGGGGUAGAAUUCCCGGUGUAACCGUUAAAAUGGCGUAUAGAUUUGGAGGAAAUACCCGGUGGCAAAGGGGCCCCCCUGUGACCAAAAAUUGCGCUUAGGUGCCGAAAGCUUGGGGGAGCCAAAACGGAUUUAAUUCCC